UUUCCAUGGCUUUGCUGUUUAGAGCAUGGUGCUGUUAAUGCCAAGGUCACAGGUUCAAUCCUUGCAUGGGACAG